rnacentral:rRNA from 1 species
GACGAACGCUGGCGGCGUGCCUAAUACAUGCAAGUCGAACGCAGUGGGGACGGGUGAGUAACACGUGGGUAACCUCCCAUCAGAGGGGAUAACACUUGGAAACAGGUGCUAAACCGAUAUUCUUUGAUGCACCCUCGGUGCAUGAGCUAGUUGGUGAGGUAACGGGUCACAAAGGCAACGAUGCAAAGCGGAGCUGAGAGGGUGAUAGGCCACACGGGGACUGAGACACGGGCCAGACUCAUCAGGGAGGCAGCAGUAGGGAAUCGUCGGCAAUGGACGAAAGUCUGACCGAGCAACGCAGCGUGAGUGAAGAAGGUUUUCGGAUCGUAAAACUCUGUUGUUAGAGAAGCGGGAGGAAAAGAGAAAGCCACGGCUAACUACGUGCCAGCAGCCGCGGUAAUUG